rnacentral:rRNA from 1 species
CACGUAGGGGGCAAGCGUUGUCCGGAAUCAUUGGGCGUAAAGAGCUCGUAGGCGGCUCGGUAAGUCGGGUGUGAAACCCCCAGGCUCAACCUGGGGACGCCACCCGAUACUGCUGUGGCUAGAGUCCAGUAGGGGAGUGUGGAAUUCCCGGUGUAGCGGUGAAAUGCGCAGAUAUCGGGAGGAACACCAGCGGCGAAGGCGACUACCUGGCCUGUUCUUGACGCUGAGGCGCGAAAGCUAGGGGAGCAAACGGG